AUUGAACGCUGGCGGCCGGCCUAACACAUGCAAGUCGAACGAGUGGCGGACGGGUGAGUAAUGUCUGGGAAACUGCCUUAUGGAGGGGGAUAACUACUGGAAACGGUAGCUAAUACCGCGUACCAUAGGAUGAGCCCCAGUGGGAUUAGCUAGUUGGUGGGGUAAAGGCCCACCAAGGCGACGAUCCCUAGCUGGUCUGAGAGGAUGACCAGCCACACUGGAACUGAGAGACGGCCCAGACUCCUACGGGAGGCAGCAGUGGGGAAUAUUGCACAAUGGGGGCAACCCUGAUGCAGCCAUGCCGCGUGUAUGAAGAAGGCCUUCGGGUUGUAAAGUACUUUCAGGAGGGAGGCGUUACCUGCAGAAGAAGCACCGGCUAACUCCGUGCCAGCAGCCGCGGUAAUUC
rnacentral:rRNA from 1 species